rnacentral:rRNA from 1 species
GGGGAAUAUUGCGCAAUGGGCGAAAGCCUGACGCAGCAACGCCGCGUGGAGGACGACGGUCUUCGGAUUGUAAACUCCUUUCAGCAGGAACGAUUAUGACGGUACCUGCAGAAGAAGCCCCGGCCAACUACGUGCCAGCAGCCGCGGUAAUACGUAGGUGGCAAGCGUUGUCCGGAUUUACUGGGCGUAAAGGGAGCGUAGGCGGAUAUUUAAGUGGGAUGUGAAAUACUCGGGCUUAACCUGGGGGCUGCAUUCCAAACUGGAUAUCUGGAGUGCAGGAGAGGAAAGGAGAAUUCCUAGUGUAGCGGUGAAAUGCGUAGAGAUUAGGAAGAAUACCAGUGGCGAAGGCGCCUUUCUGGACUGUAACUGACACUGAGGCUCGAAAGCGUGGGGAGCAAAC